CCGAAGGCCUCCCAGACAAAAAAUCUUCGAACUCUUUUAUCUCUAAAGAGCUCGGUUUGAUCAAAGAUACUGCAUAACCAAUACAACUCUGUGUUAGAAUCCACAAUAUAAAAGCAUUUUCAAAAAAUUCGUAUACAUAUAAAAUAGACCGAUACUUACAUUUAUGGUCAUAUAACCAUGCUUGCUUCGAGAGGAGUCCGUACUUCCACUCCUCCUUGGGAAAAUUAUCAAAAAGUUACAUCAUUUCUAUUUCUCUUUCUUCAGAAAUGUCUCCAAAGUCAGCAGAGAUCUUCUCGUCAGUGGCCCAGUUCGGUAGGGAAGAGAUUUCGGGGCCUUUGACGUAGAACCACUUUUCAUGCCAGCCCCUGUUGCUUGAAGGCGUGUUCACCAGCGAACGCCUCUCGAACUUCUCUCCUGACUUCGGAGAAUGCUUGCUAAUGGCCUUGAACCCCUUCUCCCUAGAUUGUACUAUUUUGUAUAUUGUGAAGAAGGAGUCCAGGGAGGGCUCCACGCCCAAUUCAUGGCAGAAGGCCACGAAGGCCAAGAUGUGAAUGUAUGAGUUCGGUACUAGUUGGGCG
rnacentral:lncRNA from 1 species